rnacentral:lncRNA from 1 species
AUUCUGAAGUGGGAACUCUCUUCUCUAUAGAGAUUCUCCUACUGGAGUUAAUGUUUGGAGACGCUUAGGUUAAAUGUGAGGCUUUAUUUAACUCAUAUUUCACAACAUUGUGUGUUUUUAUAGACGUUUUAGUGCGUUACAAGACAGCACGAUUUGAGAACAUGUUGUUAACCGCUCAGAACAUUUAGUAAACUACUUAAUUCGCUGGGUUAAUGUUAGCAAGCUAGGUUAGCUAACUAAGCUACAGUUAGUAUAUUUGUCAUCAACUGUCUGGUUAAGGCAACGUUAACGUUAGUUCGAUGUGUAGCCUAGUUAAGCAAUAAGUUUCGCUAGAUAGCUGUUUAUUAGCUAACCUAACUAACAUAGGUAAAUAUUUACUGCUUUUCUAAAAUCCAUCUGAUUCAGUUGUUCAUUGUUACAAUAUGCCAAAAUUGUAUAAUCUGAUAAGGUUAUAACACUGUGAGAAAUUUUGGGAAUAUCAUCAUGAAGUCCAGUGAUCCUGUUUUCACCAGACACAACCCCUUUCCUCCAGAACCACAUUUCACUAGAGCCCAUUACAAUCCAUCUCGAGCAAAGAAGAUUCCUAAGCAGCAGAAGAGACUGGCCCUGAGCCCUGUCCGCUUUGACCAGCUGGCCAGUUCUCCUGACUCUUCUCCUCACGCUGCAGCUCUCAGCCCAGAGGACCAGCGCUUCCUUAAAGGAUCUCGCCGAGUUGUUUUCUGUCCUCCUCCGUCUGUAAAAGAUCAGCAGAUAUUUUCUGAGUCCUGGCCUUCCACCGAUCAGUCUUCCUCUCCUGCCAGUGUGACAAUUUCAUCCUCCUCAGAGCCCCAGGCUUUAACAGCAGAUCACACAGAGCCCAGUGGAACUCAGGAAUCUUCAGUACUGGCAAAGUAUAUUGAGCGAUUCCGUUAUGGAAGACCACAAAGCCGUGAGGAAAGACAGAGGGUGACAACUGCAUUAGAUGGACAUCCGUUGUGGUCGAUGUCCUCUUCCUCUCCACAGCCUUCCAGCUCCACUCCCACCCAAAUCUCCAAGGAACACUUUAGAGGUUCACAUGAACUCAGGAGUGACAGAAAUGAUGGCACAGGCAGCAUGCGCAGUCCAGCUGAGCAGUCUCGGGCCAACAGGUCACUCUCUUCUCCCAGAGGCCUGCUUGACCUGAGUGCACUUGACUUGUCUGAUUCCUCCCACUGUGAGCCAGCAGAGCCAGAGAUUCUGCAGCUUCAGGAGGGAGCCAGCAGGCUUCUGCAGAAGAGUGAGAACUCUCUCAGUAGUGGCUCCAGCGGUCUACCCAUCAGCUCUGAGGGUCUGGGCUGCACUGAUUUCUCUUCUCCUGUAAGUGUUGAUGAGCCAGUGCGAAGACCUAUAGUACCUGGAUUAAUGGACACAGCUAACUUGCUAUCAGCAUCCAGUGUAUCUAGAGGAGGUCUCAUUCCUGCUCCAUCCAUGCUGGGCACCAGAGGUUCACGUACUCGCCCUGAGGAUGACAUCCUGUUUCAGUGGCGCCUGAGGAGGAAGAUGGAGCAGGCCAGACAGUGGAGUGAAACAUCCUCCCAUACUUCAUCUUUUCAUCAGCCUCCACUGAGCCGACUGGCACAACAGCCCAGCCCUGUCUCUGCUGAUCCCUCUCAAACUGCAGUUUAUUCACCUGCACCUGCUGCAGAGAGACCUGCUGCUGUAAGCAUCUCUGCAUGUUCAGCCUAUCAGCCAGCACUUCCUGUCUCCAGCACAACCAUCUGCACAGAACUCCAUCCAGAGACCAGCAAACAAACUCCAGACGAUCCCACUACCUUCAGCUCUUCUGUCCCCUUACCCCAGCCUGCCAAACAGAGGACCACUGUCCACCACCAGGGCCCUUCUAACUUCCCACAGUGCCAUCCAAGAGCCUCAGGAAGCCCCUCAGGGAGCUCAGUGGAGCCCUGCAAAAAGCACCACACCCAAUCCUUACCCUCUCCACAGCCUUCUGAAUGGACAGAUGGGGAACAGUAUGGAUACCAGCACAGAGAGGACAAGCAGACCAAAGGCAAGCUAGUGGUGGAGAGGAGCAGAACAAAGGUAGCAAAGGAAAGCCGAAAGAAACAAUUGGACAGGCACGUAGGGUAUGGAAAUGACGACAAUAAGGGAAACCAAAUCAAUUCCAAAGCCAGCAAUAGACAUGGUAGAGGUCAAGAACGAGUCAGCUGCAAGGCCAAAGGGACCAGAAGAGAAAAUAGGAGGCACAGUGAGGGUCUAAGUUCAGGAGAUCAUGCCCCGCCCCCUUCACCUAUACACAACACACUGGGACAGGUUGUGUCUGAGGUCCUAUUUCUUGGAACUGAUUCACCAACCCAAUCCAGAACCCCGUGUUCCUCAGACUCUUCCAGACUCACCCCCCUUCCCCCUCCUCAGUCCCCUGCUCCUCCUCCUCAAAGUGUACCACAGCCAUCUGAGGUAAUAGGUCAGCUGAUGCAAGAAGCACAAGACUCAGAUGGGCUAGAAUUUGAAGAUGACCCCUUACUUUUAGUUCUUCGACAGCAGAGAAAAUGGGUAAAAGAGCAGUUACGUGAGGUAGAUGCGACGUUGGAUGAGCUGAACGAGGACUAAUGUUUACUGUGGACAAGAAAGCACUGUCACGCACAAACACAAUCAAGUUUAUUCUUAGGAAAUCAAUACAGUGCAUUUCAUUUGUGUGUGAAAUAUUUAUGUAAAUGUAAUUUACAGUGUUAAUAAAAUGAUUUGGAAAAAUAUAUAUAUAUUUAAA